rnacentral:rRNA from 1 species
GACGAACGCUGGCGGCGUGCUUAACACAUGCAAGUCGAGCGGUAAGGCCCUUUUGGGGGUACACGAGCGGCGAACGGGUGAGUAACACGUGGGUGACCUGCCCUCAGCUCUGGGAUAAGCCUGGGAAACUGGGUCUAAUACUGGAUAUGACCUUUCCUCGCAUGGGGGUUGGGUGGAAAGUUUUUCGGCUGGGGAUGGGCCCGCGGCCUAUCAGCUUGUUGGUGGGGUGAUGGCCUACCAAGGCGACGACGGGUAGCCGGCCUGAGAGGCGACCGGCCACACUGGGACUGAGACACGGCCCAGACUCCUACGGGAGGGCAGCAGUGGGGAAGUAUUGCGCAAUGGGGCGGAAGCCUGACGCAGCGACGCCGCGUGGGGGAUGACGG